rnacentral:rRNA from 1 species
UACGUAGGUGACAAGCGUUGUCCGGAUUUAUUGGGCGUAAAGAGCUCGUAGGCGGUUUGUCGCGUCGGCCGUGAAAUCUCCACGCUUAACGUGGAGCGUGCGGUCGAUACGGGCAGACUUGAGUUCGGUAGGGGAGACUGGAAUUCCUGGUGUAGCGGUGAAAUGACGCAGAUAGUCAGGAGGAACACCGGUGGCGAAGGCGGGUCUCUGGGCAGUAACUGACGCUGAGGAGCGAAAGCGUGGGGAGCGAACAGG